rnacentral:rRNA from 1 species
UUGGGNAAAUAAAAGUCGUAACAAGGUUUCCGUAGGUGAACCUGCGGAAGGAUCAUUA